GGAGAGAUGGCCGAGAGGCUGAAGGCGUCCCGCUCGAAACGGGAUUUCCCGAAAAAAUCGGGAACGGGGGUUCAAAUCCCUCUCUCUCCG
rfam:Microgenomates (Gottesmanbacteria) bacterium GW2011_GWC2_39_8 TT63_C0090, whole genome shotgun sequence.